rnacentral:rRNA from 1 species
GAUCCUGGCUCAGGAUGAACGCUAGCUACAGGCUUAACACAUGCAAGUCGAGGGGCAGCAUUUUAGUUUGCUUGCAAACUAAAGAUGGCGACCGGCGCACGGGUGAGUAACACGUAUCCAACCUGCCGAUAACUCGGGGAUAGCCUUUCGAAAGAAAGAUUAAUAUCCGAUGGUAUAUUAAAACCGCAUGGUUUUACUAUUAAAGAAUUUCGGUUAUCGAUGGGGAUGCGUUCCAUUAGUUUGUUGCGGUGGUACCG